CGGCUCUUGGAGGUUCGUGUUUUCGGUUGUUAGCAUCCAUAUCACGGUUGAAACAUUUGGUCUAUCGUUUGCAGUUUCUUGCGCACACAACAAACCAAUCUGAACACAUCUCGUUAUCUCUUUCUCGAAAGACUUAUCAAAGAUGGUUGGAUCAGCUAGAGAAGCAGCCUCACCUUCGUUCCACAGCUUCCACGCCUGUUAAAAGGACCAAACUACAUCCAAGUAACUUCACUAGAUUCCGAUGUUGCAACUUGGAAAUCACAACCACUUCGUUCAUAAGCUCCUCAAGUCCUUGUCCUGAUGCCUGACCAAAUCCACCUUGUCCGAGCUUGUUUCUUAGAGAGAAGCUAUCAGUUGCUGUGGCUAACACUUGAAACUCAAAGAGUGGAAGCUCCUUGAGCUUCACUUGGUUAGAAGCAGUCUCAUUACCACUUAACGCAGACAGCAGCAAGGAACGCAACGCCUAGCACGGGUGCAAUGAUGAUAACUGCUCGAUUGCUAUAUGUUUCUACAUGUUUGACGAGAAAACAUAAGUCAAUUAAGGGUCCGAAUGGCAAUAUGAAGAACAACUGCGGUUUAGUCUUAGUGGUAACAAAAACACAUACACAUACACAUAUAUAUAUAUGUAGAGAUUUUUGUUAGUAUUAAA